rnacentral:rRNA from 1 species
GAUCCUGGCUCAGGAUGAACGCUAGCUACAGGCUUAACACAUGCAAGUCGAGGGGCAGCAUGAAAGGAACUUUCGGUUCUUUUUGAUGGCGACCGGCGCACGGGUGCGUAACGCGUAUUGAACCUGCCUCAUACUCGGGGAUAGCCUUGCGAAAGUAAGAUUAAUACCCGGCGGUCUCGGACGGCCGCAUGACAGUCCGAGUGAAGAUUUAUCGGUAUGAGAUGGCGAUGCGUCCCA